CCCGCUCCUUCUCUAUUCUCUCUCUCUAUUUUUCCAAAUCGACGUGUUCUAACCUUAUUUUUCUGUUGAUGAAGACCCUGAGCCUGACGUGAGCAGUGGCGGAGGCGGCGGUCGUCAAAGAUGGUGAGCACCAUAUCUAUAAUAUCUCUCUCUCUCUAAACUGAGUGGGGAUGAAAAUCACGACUCCCUCUCUCUUCCCCUCCCCUCUCUCUCUAAACUAAAGCAGCAGGGGGGUGGGGUGUGUUUCUGGGGCUCAACCCCCUCACCGCCAGCUCCCAGUGCAUCCCUCUCUCUCUCUAUCUCGAAACUAGUUAUUGAAAACCCCAGAAACAUCGCAAGCCGCUGUAUCUCCUCGUCGGAUAACAAUCCUCCCCGAGGCGGCCAAAAUUCUUCUCCAUCCGAAAAUCUAACCUUAGAAAUCCAUCGAAAGAGUGUAAGAAUUCUUCUCGUCCCGCCCUUGGCUCGCCUUUUCCAUCCCGGUUCGAGGAGGAGGUAGGGUUUCGGAAAUUUUUUUCCCCUAACCCUACAGCUUGCGUCUUUAUCUCUCGCGUCCUCCUUCGACCUUCGACGCCGCGGAAGGUGAUCUAGGUAUCGUAAGCUAGUACGGAGGUGGCUUCGACCUCGGGGCAGCCGCAGUUCCGGUACACGCAGACGCCGUCGAAGGGGCUCCACCUCCGCAACCUGCCGUGGGAGUGCACGGAGGAGGAGCUUGUCGAGCUGUGCAAGCCCUUCGAUAAGAUCGUCAACACCAAAUGCAACGUCGGCGCCAAUCGCAACCAGGCCUUUGUUGAGUUUGGAUUACACAAACUCUUAUCUUCCUGUAAACCCGUCAGCAAUUGAGGGAACUUUACAGAUGACUUGUAUGCAUUAGAAUUUUCAUGAGUCUUUACAUUUCCCUUUUUUUUUUUUUAUGUGAUGUACCAAUGAGAAGUUAUUUACAGCCUACGUUGGGUCUGGAUGGAAAGAAAAAGGAGCCUGAGAGUAAUGUACUUUUAGCUUCUAUAGAGAAUCUGCAAUAUGCUGUGACAGUUGAUGUUCUUCAUAAGGUGUGAUGUUUAAUAUUUUUCAUAAUCUGAUUUUCAGUUCUGCAUUGAUAUGCACCUGAAAAAUAAAAUUGGCAAUUCAUUUUUAGGUGCUCUCGACAUUUGGUACUAUGCAGAAAAUUGCAAUUUUUGAGAAGAACGGUGGAAUGCAGGCUUUAAUUCAAUAUCCUUGUAGGGAUGUUAUAUGCCUACUAUUUUAUAUCUUUGGUAUCUGGUAUGAAUUCUGUACGUAAUUGCAAAUAUUAUACCUCUGUAGGAUGUUAGUGUGUUUAUUAUGAAUGUUGCUUUUUUUUUUUAAUGUGAUAAUUAAACUGAAAUCGAGCACAGACUACAGUAAGGUAUGAGGUAAUAACACGGUGUGAUUCUAAUAUAUGCACUUGCUCAUAAUUGCAGGAAGCAUGCACACAUCAUAACAGAUGUUUCUAUAAGUACUGAUAUUCACACAUUUACAAAUUUCAUGAUUUUGUUGGUCUUUUUUUUUUUCAAGCAGCUUGUUAAUUAAAUUCAACAUGGUAAUAUUUGUAACAAUUUGUAUGAUGUUCCUUUGUCUUUUUGUUUGUUCUCAGAAUCUGUCUUUGUUUAGAGCAUGAUUGGCAGUCUUGGUAUCAGGUCUGUAUAGUAUCUGACAGGUACACCCUGUCCCAAGUGUCAGCAUGAUGCAUACUUUGGUACCAACACUUGGUAUGGGUGUUGUACUGAGUCUUAGUACCCUACGGGUACGAUAUUGUACACCAUCAUACCAGGCAGAAUGGUUUAGUACAACAAACCAUGUUUUAGAGUCUGAAUGACGUCUUUUUUAGCCUUUGUCACAGGUUUUUCUCCCUUACAGUAGUUGUUCUCUUUUUUGGAAAAAAGAGACAUUCAGGUCAUGUUGGUUUGUCAGCCCUUGUAACAUAUUCUUAAAGAUGUUGCCAUCUCUGACAAAUUCCCGUGCCUUUAAGCCUGUCCACGAAAUGAGGGCUUGAUAUGUGUUUGCUUGUUAAAGCAUGCUGCCAUGCUGGGUUUCAUGAAAUCCACGACGCAGAAAACAUUUAUCUUUAAGGAUAACAACGUGAAGAAUGGAAAGGGAUUUUACUUUACUAAAAAAAUAAAAAAAAGGGGGAUGUUGAUGCAGGACAACCCUUGGGAACUUAAUAUGCAAUGUCACACACUUUUAAUGAAAUCCUAGAUUCUAUAAUGAUGUGGAACUGAUUCCAAUAUGAUAACGAAUUUAAUGAUCUGGAAAUUAAAUUUAGAGACUAAUAUUCCUAGUCAUUAAACUAGAAGUUAAUUUGGAUGCAAAGAGAAUGCAUGGAAUUCAUGCCACGUAUACAGGUUGCUGAAAUAAACAUCGGAUGAUAUCUUGUAGGCAACUAACCACAAAUUCUGUGAAGAGUAGAUUGAAAAUUUCCAACAAUUAGCCAGAAGAGUUUAUGAUGAUGGUUUUGUGUUCUUUCAGUGUGAAUCGACCACGACCUGCUUUAUGGUCCAAGUUGUUCCUGCACAUUGCGACAGGAGUAUGUAUGGCUGUGAUCUAGCUCUAUGUUUCCCUUCCUUGAGUUGAAGGCUGUUGCUUACAAUGAUUGGUUGAGGAUGAGGCCUCUUAUGAGAGCAAGUGUUUUGGAGUAGUUGGGGGCACCUCAGGGAUUACCAUCAAACUGUUAGGUUAUGUACAGUUUAUGAAUCAAUGAAAGUAUUUAAUGGAUGCA